UACGUAGGUGGCAAGCGUUGUCCGGAUUUAUUGGGUUUAAAGGGUGCGUAGGCGGCCCUGUAAGUCAGUGCUGAAAUAUCCCAGCUUAACUGGGAGGGUGGCAUUGAUACUGCGGGGCUAGAGUACAGAUGAGGUAGGCGGAAUUGACGGUGUAGCGGUGAAAUGCUUAGAUAUCGUCAAGAACACCUAUAGCGAAGGCGGCUUACUAGGCUGUAACUGACGCUGAGGCACGAAAGUGUGGGGAUCAAACAGG
rnacentral:rRNA from 1 species